rnacentral:lncRNA from 1 species
GGUAAAUCCCCAUGGGGAUGCACUGCAGAGGAACCUGGGUGUUGGCGUGGCUCCGAAGAGGACCGAGCUAGGUGUAGCUGGAAGGGUCAACAAGAGGAAGGCAUGAAGGGUCGAUGUCAGCAGAAAUACAACCUGGACAAUCACCCUGGUGGCUGUGGUAUGGAUUGCGUGUCUAUUUUAUUUAUUUUGUUUUGAGACAGAGUCUCACUCUGUCGUCCAGGCUGGAGUGCAAAAGCAUGAUCUUGGCUCAUUGCAACCUCCACCUCCCAGGUUCAAGCGAUUCUCCUGCCUCAGCUGGGAUUGCAAGCCUGUGCCAAGCCCGGCUAAUUUUUGUAUUUUUGUUUUGAAAACCUAAGAGUUUUAUUUUCUAAAGCAGAAUACAUUCCAUUAACUUGACAUCCUUUAAAAAGUUAUUAAGGCCGGGCAUGGUGGCUCACGCCUGUAAUCCCAGCACUUUGGGAGGCCGAGGCGGGCGGAUCAUGAGGUCAGGAGAUCGAGACCAUCCUGGCUAACACAGUGAAACCCCGUCUCUACUAAAAAAUACAAAAAAAAUUACCCGGUCAUGGGUGGCAGGCGCCUGUAGUGCCAGCUACUCGGGAGGCUGAGGCAAGAGAAUGGCGGGAACCGGGGAGGCGGAGCUUGCAGUGAGCUGAGAUUGCGCCAUUGCACUCCAGCCUGGGCGACAGAGGGAGACUCUGUCUCAAAAAAAAAAAAAAAAAAAAAAAAAUAGCUGGGCGUGGUGACACGUGCCUGUAGUCCCAGCUACUCAGGAGGUUGAGGCAGAAUUGCUUGAAUCUGGGAGGCAGAGGUUGCAGUGAGCUGAGACCGUGCCAUUGCACUCCAGCCUGGGUGACAGAGCGAGACUCCACCUAAAAAAAAAAAAAAAGAAAAAAAAGGUUAUUCCAUGGAGGUAUUUUAAUUAUGCAAUAAAAGGCAGAAGCGACUUUACUGCUACAACUCCCAGAGCAAUUGUUUGCAUGUAGGUUUUUUUCCAGUCUCCAAGGGGUCUUGAUUUUCGAAGCCACUAUCACCCCAGCAAACACCUGUGAAGCUGAAGGCAUCUCUUUCCGCUGUUCUCUCCCAUGCACUGCCCUUGAUCAGCCUUCAAAAUCCAGGGUCCUUGGGGUCACCGGGCUCUGGAAGGGAGCCCACAGGUUGAUCUCUCCAGUUCCACUUACCUCUCCCCCUCGUAUCGUAGUAUUUGCUGCCUCUCCCUUUCCCACAAAACCUGCAAGUUUCUUAAGACUGGGGGUGGGCUUUUUUUCAUCAUUGUAUCCCAUUCCCACUGCAUGGCAUUCCACGGUAUGUGUCCCAUUAAUCUCAAAUGAAAAGCAUUCUUCUUCUUUCCCCACAGAGGCCAGUUUAGGAAACAGGAGCCCUGGCAUUGUCAUGCCCUUGGGGGAAUUGUGGAUAAGGACUGGGUUAAGGAUGAAAUGACUUUUUUCACUUUUGUGAUCUCUGUAGGCUUCCCAGGGGUGCUGAGCACUAGUGCUGAGUGCAGAGAUGAGCGAUGCCGGAGACCAUCAUCUCCUCCACCUAACUCGGCUUCCCAGGGGUGCUGAGCACUAGUGCUGAGUGCAGAGAUGAGCGAUGCCGGAGACCAUCAUCUCCUCCACCUAACUCGGCUUCCCAGGGGUGCUGAGCACUAGUGGUGAGUGCAGAGAUGAGCGAUGCCGGAGACCAUCAUCUCCUCCACCUAACUCGGCUUCCCAGGGGUGCUGAGCACUAGUGGUGAGUGCAGAGAUGAGCGAUGCCGGAGACCAUCAUCUCCUCCACCUAACUCGGCUUCCCAGGGGUGCUGAGCACUAGUGGUGAGUGCAGAGAUGAGCGAUGCCGGAGACCAUCAUCUCCUUCACCUAACUCGGCUUCCCAGGGGUGCUGAGCACUAGUGGUGAGUGCAGAGAUGAGCGAUGCCGGAGACCAUCAUCUCCUUCACCUAACUCCAUUUGGGCUCCUCGGGGUACUUUUUCCUUUUCCCCUCUUUUUUUCUUCUCUCCAUUCUAGGCUCUGGGUGCUUUUUCAACUAGGUCCUGACUUCUGGAUUUCUGUGUUAUCUCUGUAUUGUCCAAUUUUAGCAAGAGUCCUGCUCAGCCAGUUCAGCUACACCCCCGACCCUCGAUAUCUGACAGGUUCCUCAUCCUCCACCCUCCGCCAGGCCACGUCUGAUCUCCCUGGCCUGCCCUCUGCAGGUCCUGUGAGGUUGGCUUAACCAGAGUCCUCCCUCUGAUGUCUCCUCUUAGUAAGUUUCCAUCCAGUGACCUUCCACCUUCUCCUUAGCUAUAAAUACCCACUUUUUCUUGUUGUAUUUACAGUUGGGACCAAUCUCUAUGCCCUUUUGCAAAGUGGUCCCUACUCAAGGUCCCUACAAAGGGGUCCCUUGAGUAAAGAUCAUGACCCUGCUUGACUAAAGCCUUCCUUAUCGUCUUU